rnacentral:rRNA from 1 species
CCUACGGGAGGCAGCAGUGGGGGAUAUUGCACAAUGGGGGAAACCCUGAUGCAGCGACGCCGCGUGAGUGAAGACGGUCUUCGGUUUGUAAAGCUCUGUCUUUGGGGAAGAAGAUGACGGUACCCGAAGAAGAAGCCCCGGCUAACUACGUGCCAGCAGCCGCGGUAAUACGUAGGGGGCGAGCGUUGUCCGGAUUUACUGGGGGUAAAGGGAGCGUAGGCGGGAGGUCAAGUUGGAAGUGUAAACCAAUGGCGUAACCAGGGAUCUGCAGGGGAACCUGGACAGCUGGAGUGCAGGAGAGGUAAGCGGAAUGCCUAGUGUAGCGGUGAAAUGCGUAGAUAUUAGGAGGAACACCAGUGGCGAAGGCGGCUUGCUGGACUUUAACUGACGUUGAGGCUCGAAAGCGUGGGGAGCAAACAGGAUUAGAUACCCUUGUAGUC